GCCUCCGUGGAUAAAUGGUUAAUCACCUCAAGUUUGUAGCAUUCCUGAGCAUCGUUGCAUGAGGAGAUGCAGGUUCGAAUCUCGCCGAGGGCG